rnacentral:rRNA from 1 species
AUUUUGGGCAAUGGGCGGAAGCCUGACCCAGCAACGCCGCGUGGGUGAUGAAGGCCCUCGGGUCGUAAAGCCCUUUUCCCAGGGAAGAUGGUGACGGUACCUGGGGAAUCAGCCCCGGCUAACUACGUGCCCGCAGCCGCGGUAAUACGUAGGGGGCAAGCGUUGUCCGGAUUUAUUGGGCGUAAAGCGCUCGCAGGUGGUUUGUCGCGUCGUGCGUGAAAGACCCCGGCUCAACUGGGGGGCGUCGUGCGAUACAGGCAAACUGGAGGCCAGUAGGGGGAUGCGGAAUUCCGGGUGUAGUGGUGGAAUGCGUAGAGAUCCGGAGGAACACCUGCGGCGAAGGCGGCAUCCUAGACUGGUCCUGACACUCAGGAGCGAAAGCGUGGGGAGCGAUC